rnacentral:rRNA from 1 species
GAUGAACGCUAGCUACAGGCUUAACACAUGCAAGUCGCGGGGCAGCAUGGGGGUUGCUUGCCAUCCCCGAUGGCGACCGGCGCACGGGUGAGUAACGCGUAUCCAACCUGCCCUUCACCACGGGAUAACCCGGCGAAAGUCGGACUAAUACCGUAUGUUGUCCAUUGACGGCAUCCGAUUUGGACGAAAGGCUUGGCGGCGAGGGGUGGGGAUGCGUCCGAUUAGCCAGACGGCGGGGUAACGGCCCACCGUGGGUACGGUCGGUUGGGGUUCUGAGAGGAAGGUCCCCCAGACUGGAACUGAGACACGGCCCAGACUCCUACGGGAGGCAGCAGUGAGGAAUAUUGGUCAAUGGGCGUAAGCCUGAACCAGCCAAGUAGCGUGCAGGAUGACGGCCCUAUGGGUUGUAAACUGCUUUUAUGCGGGGAUAAAGUGGCCCACGUGUGGGCUUUUGCAGGUACCGCAUGAAUAAGGACCGGCUAAUUCCGUG